rnacentral:snRNA from 1 species
GGAUGUGAGGAAAAUCUGGCUGCGAAAUCUGUCAUGUCAUUGGUCACCAGGGUUGAUUGGGCUGAUCUGAUUGGCUAGAUGGUUGUUCCCUUCCUCCCAAAGCUUUCCACUUGGUGCUCUCUUCAAGGGCUAUCUCUAGAGACACACCAAUUUUCCUUGAGUAUGGGAGUGGUUACACUCCCCUGCUAGUCCCUCCAAAUAAGCUCUCAAAUUUCCUGGGGUUUGAAGCAGCCCAAAUUUAUUAUUUUUCAGUGGAAGAUAUUA